ensembl:miRNA mdo-mir-12404 mdo-mir-12404
GAGGUGAAGUGACUUGCCAAGGUUAUUCAUGUGCUAUCUUAAGCAAGUCCCUUCCCCUCU